rnacentral:misc_RNA from 1 species
GGAAGUGAAAGUCGUAACAAGGUCUCCGUAGGUGAACCUGCGGAGGGAUCAUUACAGAGUUCUCGCCCUCGCGGGUAGAUCUCCCACCCACUGUUAUCGUUACUGUCGUUUCCUUGGCGGGCCGCCGGGUCCCCGGCCGCCGGCGUCUAAUAGGCGGCACGCGCCCGCCAGAGGCCUUUGAACCCUGAAUGUUAGUGUCGUCUGAGUACUAUAUAAUAGUUAAAACUUUCAACAACGGAUCUCUUGGUUCUG